rnacentral:rRNA from 1 species
GUGGGGAAUCAGGACUGUUACUGUGAAAAAAUUAGAGUGUUUAAAGCAGGCUUAAGCUUGAAUACAUUAGCAUGGAAUAAUGAAAUAGGACGUUUGAUCUUAUUUUGUUGGUUUCUAGGAUCGACGUAAUGAUUAAUAGGGAUAGUUGGGGGCAUUAGUAUUCAAUUGUCAGAGGUGAAAUUCUUGGAUUUAUUGAAGACUAACUACUGCGAAAGCAUUUGCCAAGGAUGUUUUCAUUAAUCAAGAACGAAAGUUAGGGGAUCGAAGACGAUCAGAUACCGUCGUAGUCUUAACCAUAAACUAUGCCGACUAGGGAUCGGAUGAUGUUUAAUUUUUAAUGACUCAUCCGGCGCCUUACG